UCUCUCUCUCUCUCUCUCUCUCUCUCUCUCUCUCAAUUCUCUCGCUUUUUUCUCUCUCUCUCUGCCUCUGUCUCCAUCAAUUCAAUACAGUCAGCCAAUGGUGCUCCGUGUCUAUUUUUAGAACCAGGGAAGGAGGGCAAACCAAGAACAAACUAGGUGGGAGAGAGAGAGAGGGUGAGUGAGGGACAGAGGGAUAGAGAGCAAGAGAGGGCUGGAAAGCAGAGAGAGAGAGAGAGAGAGAGAGAGAGAGAGAGAGAGAGAGAGAGAGAGAGAGAGAGAGAGAGAGAGAGAGAGAGAGAGAGAGAGAGAGAGAGAGAGAGAGAGAGAGAGAGAGAGAGAGAGAGAGAGAGUGAGUGAGUGAGGGACAGAGGGAAAGAGAGCAAGAGAGGGAGAGAGAAGGAGAGGGAGUGAGAGAGCAAGAGAAAAAAGAUAAAUGUGCCUUCUACCGCUGGCUAGUGGAUAGAUAGCAGCCACAGUAGGAACUAGAGCAGCACGGGAGGACGGCACGCUGCAGGCUCCAGACCCUCUCUGAAGCACAACAACUGGGACAACUAUUCCCCCACACUACUCCAACCAUCGCUGACCGACUGGGCAGAGCAAACAGCGGGAAUUGGCUCGGACAAAGGGCGAGUGUGAGCAGGCAUGAGGCCCCGCUCCAGACCGCUGAGCAAGAGGAGGCUCCAGCUGCCGACCAUCAGAGAGGGCAGCGAGGAGAGGAGGAGGAGGAGGAGUGUGGGGGGGCAGAGCGGGGAGGAAGGCCUCUCCGGUUGGCGCGGCGACAGAGACGACCGGGACGGCCGCGAGGGGAGGCGGCGCGCCCGGGCCAACAGCGUCCCCCGCCUCACCAGCCCCAACUGCCCCCCGAGGCGCAAGGGCAGCUGCCCCGAGGUGCACCCCCUGCCCGGCCCCCAGACCCCCGCGCACCCCCCGGCCGUGCCCCCAGACGGCCCCCCGGUCCCCGAGGUCAGAGACAGUCCGGAGGAGGAGACGGGGGGCCGAGGGGAGAGGGGGGGGGCCGAGGAGGAACAGGAUCCCGGGGGGCAAACCCUCCCUCCUGUCCCAGUGGCUCUCUGACUGUAGGUCAGCGUGGAGGGUCAAAGCAGGCGUGCUGCCGGCCAUCGCUGAGAUAUAGGCCGGCCCGCGGCACGCAAAGACACUCUGUACUUAGACUCCAUUCUUAUUGUUUGUUUUUAUAUGUGUCGUUUCGUUCAGAGGUUGAGAAGAGACAACAUGCAGUCUAACACUGGUCGAUACAGCUGUAUGAAUGGAUAUCGCUUGCCUUAAUACAUAAUGAUAUCUACAUGUUAAUAUAUAUUAAGGCAAGCUUAUAGCUAUAUAUUGUUACUCUUGCCUGUGAUCUGUGAUUGUUUUGCUUAUAUACUCUGACCAACUCGUGCUUGGCUUAUGCCAAAAUGAAAUCUGAAAUCUGCAAAAUCAUUUUAUACCCUGGGUGCCCUGUGGGUCAGAGAGAAAUAAUGAAGGAAUAAAUAAACGAUCGAUUUUGAUACUCUUAAACCAUCGAGGGUUGAGUGUGCGUUUGCUUGCCGGUACGGACAGCUUGACAACACCACCCCUUGCAUCUGUGCGGGUGUCCGUCGCCGUCGUUCCUAUGGUAACUGUUGAGGGCGAGCUGGGUUAGUAAAAAAAAAAAAAAGAAUAAAACCUUGAUUCCAAAUGCAGAGUUGGCAGGCUGGCGAGCGCACGCACGCCAACACCCCAGCAUCUUCUUUGUUUAGCCCUUUCUUGGAAAGCGUGAAUCACCAACAUCAGCGCACAAUAGGGGACUCGGAAACCUUACACAAGCCCAGACGGCCACCCAGCCGGUAAACCCAAGCGCUCUCCGGCUGCUGUUAGUGAUACUACCGCUAGGGGGCAGCCUUGGCUCAGAUUCUCAUUCGUAAUGUCAUGUAUCCACGUAACGGUGUGCUUUGGAAGAGAAUACUCCUGACCUCCAGUGGUCAAAAGCAGUCAGCUCAGGCAGAAAUCCCCCAAAGGCCUCAGCUUGGUUACCAAAACAACCAACGUAGGCCAGAAUAUUCAGGUAAAUUCUACUUAAUAUCCAACACACAGAACAUCAAUAACGCAGACUAAAUGUUGACAUUUUGAAAGCAAUUAAUACAAAAUAAACAACUCCUGUCCACGUCCACAGUGACCUAUUAAAACAGCAAGUGCCGGGCAGUCAAAGUCCAAUGAACCACCUGGGUAAGAGUGAAGGUUGAACUUUUAAGGGAGUCAUGCAUGCUGAUUGUUCGGACUGCACAUUUAACAAAACAUGUUUACUACACCGCCAUUUCACCAUGUUUGUGAAAUAGACAAAUCAUCAAAAGGGAGAUAAGAAUGAAUGAAGCCUCUUUGUGUGUGUUUGUUUGUGUGUGU
ensembl:lncRNA